AAACAUUUUAGUGCAAACUAUGUAAACUGUGCAAAAACACAAACCUGUCACAUGUUUCUUUUCCAGUCCAAUCCUUGUCUGUUCUCCAAACCUAAACUCUUUGUCUAGUUUAGUGACAGAUCGCCAUGGCAAUAGAUUGGUUCGUUGUACGUCCCUAAAAUGAGUCCAGGGUGCUCCAGUGAUAAA